GACCGCUCCGAUAAAGAAGUGGUUAGAGCGUCCGACUUGGAUUCGGGACGUCGCGGGUUCGAACCCAGGCUGAGUCA